GCUGCUGCUUUGUUGUUAGUUGCUUUAGCUACCCCUUCUGCAAACCUCUCUGGUUUGAAGACGUGAACGUCUUCACCCCAUAUUUGAGGAUCAUGAUGCAGUGCCAGAAUUGGCAUGAAAAUAGUCAUGUUACCUGGAAGAGUCAUGCUCCCCAGUCUAACUUCGCGUUCAACUUUCCUUGUCACUGUAAUAACUGGAGGA
rnacentral:misc_RNA from 1 species